UACAGAGGUCCCGAGCGUUGUUCGGAUUCACUGGGCGUAAAGGGUGCGUAGGUGGCCUGAAAAGUUUGAUGUGAAAGCUCAGGGCUUAACCCUGAAAUGGCAUUGAAUACUGUCGGGCUGGAGGUUUGGAGGGGGGACUGGAAUUUACGGUGUAGCGGUGAAAUGCGUAGAUAUCGUAAGGAAGACCAGUGGCGAAGGCGGGUCUCUGGACAGUUCCUGACGCUGAGGCACGAAGGCCAGGGGAGCAAACGGG
rnacentral:rRNA from 1 species